GUCCCCGGCGUCCGGGCGCCCUGCAUGGAUCCCCCACCCCAGCUCCUGCUCCCCGGCGGCGGCCGGUGGGCAGAAAGACCGAAACCCACUCACGGCCGCCUGCCGAAUCGCGGCUCUGCUGUUUGUGGGGCGUGCUAGAAACGUGGUCCUAAAAAGAAUGGCGUCCAUUUACAUAAUGCUUUGUUUGCGUUUCGCAAGUUUCUUUCGGUUAAAGCCACAGAAACCCCACCUCCUGCCCUUGUGUCGUUUCCACCGCGGCACCCUUUUCCGACAUUAGAAACAAUAGUGUACGCCUGUGGAGGCCUCGUUUGUUCAGGGGCUGCCGGCCAGGGCUUCAGGACGUUUCUGCGGCUUUCCCCGCGCGGCCUGGGCUCCCGCGGCUGCUUUUCGGGCCCAUGGGCGCAGCCACUGCGCCAGGCUCAAGGGGGGCGGCCCCGUCAGGGCCCGCCAUCUUGGAAGGCCUUUUUUGCCGGUUCUUCCCGCUGAGGAAGUGUCGCUCAAGACGCUGGCCUAUGAGUUGUGAUUUCUGCCUUUUCCCCUUCCUCCUUGGGCUAAGCCAGACCAGAAAGGGCCCCGUGCGCAACGUGCUUCACAAUCUCUCAGGGAAAGCGGCUAACGUGGCGCUACUCCGCCUCCCCUGUUCCUUACCCUUGGGGCGGCCGCCAUGUUUCCUGAACACAAAAUGGCGACACGUGGUUAGCAUUCGUCGCCAACGAGAAAUUGGGGUCGGCCCGAAAGCUCUAGAAUGCACCCCUCUUCCUCCCCGGGGCCUUCCACCUCCGCGAGUUUUAUGACUUAAAAAAGCCCACAGGCUGGUCUGAAGGUCGGAGGCCUAAUUUUAACGCGUUUUCCUCCCUUUAAUUUGAAACGGGAACGCGAAUGACUGUAAAAUGUGGGCACAAUAUUUAAUCUCUCGCCUUUUUAAAGCUUAAUAGUGGAUAAUAGGGGGGCAGUAUCAAGGGAUAAUUUGGGUCCCCACAGUACCAAAGCAUUUAGAAACCUCUGUUUAAUUUAAGGAAUGAGAUAAGUUACUGCUUUUCUAGACUUCCUAGCAUGGGCUGUUGUGCUGGAGAGAACGAGAGCUACGAAGAGACUACAGUGCCUCUGACUUUUUCAUAGGACAGUUGGCCGAGGAAGACAAACAUAAAGAUGAAGUGCUUAAUUCAAGGUCACACAAUGUCGGGGAUGGACCUCCAGAUUUCCUUACUGACCUGCAUUAUCUUGUGGAUACCUGAGUGAAUUCCACACCACCCAUUUUAUAGAUGAAACCACUGAGACAUGGAGCAAUUGACUGAGUAGUCACUGCCCCACCCCUGCCUGGAGCCUCACACAUGACUCGCCUCCUCUCAGUGACCACAGGUUGGUUGAGGGGUUUAACAAGGCUAAGAAGGUGAGACGUGGUCUUGUAACACAGUGGUUAAGAAUGUGACUUUGGAGCCAGCCUGCUAGGGGCUGAAUUCUGACUCAGCCAUUUACUAACUGUGUGACCUUAGGUAAGUCAUUUACCUUCUUUGUCCCUCAGUUUCAUCUCGGUUAAGUAGGGAUAAUGAUAGCACCUAUUUUAUAGGGUUAUUGUGAGGAAUAAAUCCAAGUAAAAUGCUUAGAAUAGUAACUGAAACAUAGCACUCAUUAGGAAUGCUUUAAUUUUCAUUUAUUUGAGUAUUAAAGGUUGAAUUUUCAGAGGUAUUUUGGACCUUUGUAUUUUUUCUUUAAAUCACUUAUUCAUGACUUUUGAACUUUUUUUUUUCUUUUAGAGACAGGGUCUUGGUUUGUUGUCUAGGCUGGAAUGCAGUGGUGCAAUCAUAGCUCACUGUAGCCUUGAACUCUUGGGCUCAAGAGAUCCUCCUGCCUCAGCCUCGUGAGUAGCUGGGCCUACAGGCGCCUGCUACCACACCUGGCUAAUUUUUUAUUUUUUGUAGAGAUGGGUUCUUGCAGCCCAGACUGGUCUUGAGCUUUGGCCUGAAGUGCUCCUCCUGCCUUGGCCUCUCAAAGCAUUGGGGUUACAGGUGUGAAGCACUGCACCUUGCCUACACAUUUUUUCCAAUAAUUUUUUUUAUUAAUUUGUAAGAGUUAACAUGUCGACUAUCAUAUAUAACAUAGAAUUGUUCCCAUUUUGUCAUUUCCUUUCAACUUUGUCUAUGUAGCUUUUUUUCUGUGUGCAAAUUUUACAUUUUUAGGUAGUCAGAAAAUCUCUUCCCUUGUAAUUUUUUCUGCUACUAGACCAAUGUUUAGAAAAAAGCGUGCUUCCCCACCUCAAAAUUAUAAAAAUAGUUACUUGUUCUUUUUGAGUACUGUGUGUGUUUAAAUCUUUAAUCUUUAAAUUUAAAUCUUUGAUCCAUCUGGUAUUUAUUUUGAUAUGAAGAGAGUGGUUGGGAUCUGGCUGUAUUUCUUUUUUCUUUUUUUUUCUUUUUUCUUUUUUUGACGAAGUCUCACUGUUGCUCAGGCUGGAGUGCAAUGGCAUGAUCUCGGCUCAUCACAACCUCUGCUUCCUGGGUUCAAGCGAUUCUCCUGCCUCAGCCUCCCGAGUACCUGGGACUACAGGCACUCGCCACCAUGCCCGGCUGAUUUUUGUAUUUUUAAUAGAGAUGGUUUCACUAUGUUGGCCAGGCUGGUCUCGAACUCCUGACCUUGUGAUCUGCCCACCUCAGCCUCGAAAAGUGCUGGGAUUACAGGCGUGAGCCACUGCGCCCAGCCUUGUAUUUUUUUUCAGUUUGGGUAGCUGUCCCUAAUUCAUUUGUUAAAGGAGAAGCAAGAGCAAGAACCUUUAAUCUGUUCUCCUCUUCCCUAAUUUGAAAGUAGCUUGUUAUUUUGAAUAUCACUUUCUCUGAAAUAGCACAUCUCCAUCUCAGAGAAUGGAUUUAAUGUUUGGAUACAGCCAAAAGUCAUUUCAUUACCAAACCAUGGGGUGAAUAUACCAUGUAAAGCAGUUUGGGAUCAGAACUCACAGUCUGAAUUGUAAGUGAUGAGACUGCUGUCUCUCUGCUACAGCUUCUUGGCUGGCUCUGAAGGCUCUUUGAAGGCAGAUCCUAACAAGGGGACUGCUUUGAAGGGCCAUUGUUCAUUUGGAAUGAUAAAGUCUAUGUUGUUCAAAAAACAAAUGCUUGUAGCAGGUAUUUUUUCACUCCAGACUGAGAAUAUUGGUGGGAUAUUGAUAAGGGGUACUGAAUGGUAAUAAACAUGUGCUCUAGCUCUGUGCUAGUCAGCUUAUUUCAGAACUCUAGUUUGAUUCAGUUUCUUGCCUCUGACUCAAAAUGGAGGGAGAGUGAUUUUUACAUAAGAGAACACACCCACAUAUCCUUUUGGCAGCAGCUACCUGCCAGAGAUGUUGAAGAAGAGUAGCCAACCUUUACACAGCAGAUAUUGUGUGCCAGUCAUAGUCCUAAGUAUAAUACCUUACAUGUAUAAACUUCUUAUAAGGUUGGUGCUCUGUACCGAAUUGAAUAGUAUCCCCCAAAAUUCAUGUUGUCCCAGAACCUAUGAAAGUGAUCUUACUUGAGGGAGGGGGGAGGGGGGAGGGAUAGCAUUAGGAGAUAUACCUAAUGCUAAAUGACGAGUUAAUGGGUGUAGCACACCAGCAUGGCACAUGUAUACAUAUGUAACUAACCUGCACAUUGUGCACAUGUACCCUAAAACUUAAAGUAUAAUAAUAAUAAAAUAAAAAAAAAAAAGAAAGUGAUCUUACUUGGAAAUAAGGUCUUUGCACAUAUGAUCAAGUUGAGAUGAAGUUGUACUGGAAAGUCUGUCUAGUGACUGGUGUUGUCAUAAGAAGAGAGGGACACAGAGGGAAGAUGGCCACAUGAAGAUGGAGGCAGAGAUUGCAGUUAUGCUGCUGCAAACUAAGGAAUGGCUCUGGCCCUCCAAGGAUUGCUGAUAACCACCAGAAACUAGAAGAGACAAGGAAGGAUUCUUCCCUAGAGCCUUCAGAGGGAGCAUGGCCCUACUGACACCUGGAUUUCAAACUUGUAGCUUCCUAAACUGCAAGAGAAUAAAUUUCUGUUGUUUUAAGCCA
rnacentral:lncRNA from 1 species